rnacentral:lncRNA from 1 species
ACCCGCAACUUUUCCUUCCUCAAUCCUUUUCUUUCUUUUUUUCAUUUUGUUCUUGUUUCUUCAUUUUUUUUGUUUUCUAGAUUCAUGACACUCCUUUUUACCACAUAUAUUCUAUUUUUCACAGCUCUUUUUUUCAUAUUCAUUUUGCAUUCUUCCCAUUCACCAAUAUACUUAUCCCAGGCUUCUGUAUACUCUGUACAACCAUUGAGGCGGA